GACGAACGCUGGCGGCGUGCUUAACACAUGCAAGUCGAACGGAAAGGCCCUGCUUUUGUGGGGUGCUCGAGUGGCGAACGGGUGAGUAACACGUGAGUAACCUGCCCUUGACUUUGGGAUAACUUCAGGAAACUGGGGCUAAUACCGGAUAGGAGCUCCUGCUGCAUGGUGGGGGUUGGAAAGUUUCGGCGGGUGGGGAUGGACGCGCGGCUUAUCAGCUUGUUGGUGGGGUAGUGGCUUACCAAGGCUUUGACGGGUAGCCGGCCUGAGAGGGUGACCGGCCACAAUGGGACUGAGAUACGGCCCAGACUCCUACGGGAGACAGCAGUGGGGAAUAUUGCACAAUGGGCGGAAGCGUGAUACGGCAACGCCGCGGGCGUGAUGACGUCCUGCGGGUUGUAAACCGCUUUCGCCUGUGACGAAGCGUGAGUGACGGUAAUGGGUAAAGAAGCACCGGCUAACUACGUG
rnacentral:rRNA from 1 species